UACGGAGGGAGCUAGCGUUGUUCGGAAUUACUGGGCGUAAAGCGCGCGUAGGCGGCUUUGUAAGUUAGAGGUGAAAGCCCGGAGCUCAACUCCGGAACUGCCUUUAAAACUGCAUCGCUUGAAUCCAGGAGAGGUGAGUGGAAUUCCGAGUGUAGAGGUGAAAUUCGUAGAUAUUCGGAAGAACACCAGUGGCGAAGGCGGCUCACUGGACUGGUAUUGACGCUGAGGUGCGAAAGCGUGGGGAGCAAACGGG
rnacentral:rRNA from 1 species